rnacentral:lncRNA from 1 species
UUUGAGAUAAAAGUAUUAUUUUAUUAUAAAAUUAUUUCAGAUUGUGCUUUAUUUUAUUUUGUAUAAUAUGAUUGACUUGAAAUAAAUCUUUUUCAUUUUUUUUCCUCAGUGGAAUUAGAGAUGUCAACGGAUUGAGUUCGAAAUAGAUUUUCAAAAUUCUAAAUCUAAAUACGAACUCGCAUCCAAACCUAACAAUCAACCCGAACAAGAAGCCGACAGAUUUUGAAAAUCUAUAACCAAAGUAAUGAAACCAAAGUCCAAAAUUCGAAGAUGGACCUAAAAAUCUUGAACCCGAAAUAAUUAUAAUUUUUAUAAUAUUUCAAAAUAUAUUAUAUUAAGGCUAAAUUAUAUAAAACUUUCUGUCAAAACUCGAUUUUUCACUUUUCUUUUUUGUCAUUUAAAACCCUACAUUUUGCUCUUGUCAUUUAAAACCCUACAUUUUGCCUCCUUGUAAAAUGAAAAAUGUUCACUUCGCCCCCUGCUGCUAGUAAUUCGUUAGGGUUCCGUUUAUAAAAUAUUAUUAUAUAUUUUUUUAUGCCAAAAAUGCUCU